rnacentral:antisense_RNA from 1 species
CUGUCUUUGAGGCCACCUACCCUAUACCACUCGUCCCGGAGAGCUUCUUCUUUAGGUGUUGAAGACUGUUCCUUUCUGGGUGAAGGAGAAUCAUGUAGCAAUUGGGAGCAAGAUGCAUCCAUGUAACCCAGUGCUGGAGGUCAAGAUGGAGACAAUCUCCACAACCACUAUGGCCUUUCCCUGAGUGCUACUGUAACUCAGGAGGAAAGCCACCCAGAUACUGCAGAACACCAACAUGCUGAAAGCAAACCAAAGAGAAGAAAGACUUUGUGCUUGAGAGUUGAAAAUGAGACCACCUUGCCAUGUCAAUUCAGGUCUCUUAAAGUCUUCCCUUGCAGGAGAAGAGGGAAGUGAAACGAAAUCUUCUUGCUGAUUAAUUCAUUGACAGAAUGGGAUUGUCUUGUGAAAGGGAAAUAUCUUGGAUCCCUU